rnacentral:rRNA from 1 species
GACGAACGCUGGCGGCGUGCCUAAUACAUGCAAGUAGAACGCUGAAGGAGGAGCUUGCUUCUCCGGAUGAGUUGCGAACGGGUGAGUAACGCGUAGGUAACCUGCCUGGUAGCGGGGGAUAACUAUUGGAAACGAUAGCUAAUACCGCAUAACAGUAGAUGUUGCAUGACAUUUGCUUAAAAGGUGCAAUUGCAUCACUACCAGAUGGACCUGCGUUGUAUUAGCUAGUUGGUGAGGUAACGGCUCACCAAGGCGACGAUACAUAGCCGACCUGAGAGGGUGAUCGGCCACACUGGGACUGAGACACGGCCCAGACUCCUACGGGAGGCAGCAGUAGGGAAUCUUCGGCAAUGGACGGAAGUCUGACCGAGCAACGCCGCGUGAGUGAAGAAGGUUUUCGGAUCGGAAAGCUCUGUUGUAAGAGAAGAACGAGUGUGAGAGUGGAAAGUUCACACUGUGACGGUAUCUUACCAGAAAGGGACGGCUAACUACGUG